AUCAGAAGUGCGAAUGCUGACAUAAGUAACGAUAAAGCGGGUGAAAAGCCCGCUCGCCGGAAGACCAAGGGUUCCUGUCCAACGUUAAUCGGGGCAGGGUGAGUCGACCCCUAAGGCGAGGCCGAAAGGCGUAGUCGAUGGGAAACGGGUUAAUAUUCCCGUACUUGGUGUUACUGCGAAGGGGGGACGGAGAAGGCUAUGUUGGCCGGGCGACGGUUGUCCCGGUUUAAGCGUGUAGGUGUGUGUUCCAGGUAAAUCCGGUUCACUUUAACACUGAGGCGUGAUGACGAGGCACUACGGUGCUGAAGCAACAAAUGCCCUGCUUCCAGGAAAAGCCUCUAAGCAUCAGGUAACAUCAAAUCGUACCCCAAACCGACACAGGUGGUCAGGUAGAGAAUACCAAGGCGCUUGAGAGAACUCGGGUGAAGGAACUAGGCAAAAUGGUGCCGUAACUUCGGGAGAAGGCACGCUGACACGUAGGUGAAGUGAUUUACUCAUGGAGCUGAAGUCAGUCGAAGAUACCAGCUGGCUGCAACUGUUUAUUAAAAACACAGCACUGUGCAAACACGAAAGUGGACGUAUACGGUGUGACGCCUGCCCGGUGCCGGAAGGUUAAUUGAUGGGGUCAGCGCAAGCGAAGCUCCUGAUCGAAGCCCCGGUAAACGGCGGCCGUAACUAUAACGGUCCUAAGGUAGCGAAAUUCCUUGUCGGGUAAGUUCCGACCUGCACGAAUGGCGUAAUGAUGGCCAGGCUGUCUCCACCCGAGACUCAGUGAAAUUGAACUCGCUGUGAAGAUGCAGUGUACCCGCGGCAAGACGGAAAGACCCCGUGAACCUUUACUAUAGCUUGACACUGAACAUUGAGCCUUGAUGUGUAGGAUAGGUGGGAGGCUUUGAAGCGUGGACGCCAGUCUGCGUGGAGCCGACCUUGAAAUACCACCCUUUAAUGUUUGAUGUUCUAACGUGGACCCGUGAUCCGGGUUGCGGACAGUGUCUGGUGGGUAGUUUGACUGGGGCGGUCUCCUCCUAAAGAGUAACGGAGGAGCACGAAGGUUGGCUAAUCCUGGUCGGACAUCAGGAGGUUAGUGCAAUGGCAUAAGCCAGCUUGACUGCGAGCGUGACGGCGCGAGCAGGUGCGAAAGCAGGUCAUAGUGAUCCGGUGGUUCUGAAUGGAAGGGCCAUCGCUCAACGGAUAAAAGGUACUCCGGGGAUAACAGGCUGAUACCGCCCAAGAGUUCAUAUCGACGGCGGUGUUUGGCACCUCGAUGUCGGCUCAUCACAUCCUGGGGCUGAAGUAGGUCCCAAGGGUAUGGCUGUUCGCCAUUUAAAGUGGUACGCGAGCUGGGUUUAGAACGUCGUGAGACAGUUCGGUCCCUAUCUGCCGUGGGCGCUGGAGAACUGAGGGGGGCUGCUCCUAGUACGAGAGGACCGGAGUGGACGCAUCACUGGUGUUCGGGUUGUCAUGCCAAUGGCACUGCCCGGUAGCUAAAUGCGGAAGAGAUAAGUGCUGAAAGCA
rnacentral:rRNA from 1 species